GCCGAAGUGGCGGAAUUGGUAGACGCAAGGGACUUAAAAUCCCUCGUUCCAUUGGGACGUACCGGUUCAAGUCCGGUCUUCGGCACAA
rnacentral:tRNA from 1 species